rnacentral:rRNA from 1 species
GGAUUAGAUACCCUGGUAGUCUACGCCGUAAACGAUGUGCACUUGAUGGUGGGACCGUCCGGUUUCACUGUCGGAGCUAACGCAUUAAGUGCACCGCCUGGGGAGUACGCCGGCAACGGUUAAACUCAAAGGAAUUGACGGGGGCCCGCACAAGCGGUGGAGUAUGUGGUUUAAUUCGAUGCAACGCGAAGAACCUUACCUAGGCUUGACAUCCUGCGAAUCACUUUUAAACGAGUGAGUGCCCUUCGGGGAAUGCAGUGACAGGUGCUGCAUGGCUGUCGUCAGCUCGUGCUG